UUUUUGGGUGAUUCUGGAUCUGAUUCUGUGUGUCUGAACUUGUCCCAAUAGUUAUGACUCCAAACUGAAUCUUUAUAUCUGGAGUCUCCCCAGAUGAAGGUUAACGUUCAUUAGGGCUGCAUUCCUGCAAACACUUACACGUCCUUAACUUCCC